GUCCAGGUGUGCACUCACCAGUCCUCCAUCUGUAAGGGCAUACCCUUCUAUAGAAGUACCUUGCCCUGCUGAGAAUUAAAAAGAAAAUUUUAUAUUCGAGUGCUAUUUCUUUUGUGGCACCGAAACUUUACUUAUAACAAUUUGGGGGCUCAUCCGGGAUUACAUUCCCCUCCGGGGGUGGUCUCUGGUUCUCUCUUGUGAGGAGGUGCACCCCACCCCACUGUGGCGGCCUCAGGGGUGAGAAAUCAAGACCCACCCAGUGUGAAGAAUAACCUGAGCUCUCAGCUACAUGGAAAGAAACUGGCUAGCAACCUAGCUUAAAGCAUCCUCCAUAAGGGCCACACAAGUGUGUGCAUGGACCGAGGAAAAGACACCAUGGGAGCCGGUAAAGUAUUUCCUUGGUGGUUGGGAGCAAGGAUGAAGAGAGCUACCCUUAUCACCACAUAUGGAGAGCCAGCACCAAGAUGAGUUAAUUAUAUUCUAAAGCAUACCAAGCUCUUCGUGUUUGCUGCUGGAGUGACUGUGUGUUCCCUUGCCCUUAGAUGAAGAAAUGCUUUCAAAACCUCUGAAGAUGCCUGAAUGGUCUGAGGGUAUCGUGCAGCAGUUUUUGGUGUUACUGACGACCAGCUCUGACGAGAGUCUUCGGUUUCUUAGCUUCAGGCUGGACUUCAACGAGCAUUACAAAGCCAGGGAGCCCAGGCUCCGCGUGUCUCUGGGUACCAGGGGGCGGCGCAGCUCCCACACGUGAAGCUCGCGGUCCUCCCAGGGAGCUGCGGGUGAUGUUCGUUGCACUGCUAGACACGAAAUUCCCAUUGACGUCCUGCAGGAACUGCAUGCUGCAGGUGUCCUGCCCUUCCGCCCACGAGUGCGCCAUGUUUCAGCGGAGCGGCGUGUGGGAGAAGCCACGUCGUGUUGCACACGUCGGAGUUGAAUGCAUUUGUAAAUCACUAAGUCAAGUAGGCUGGCUGCACUGUUCACAUUUGUCUCUAAAAGUCUUCAUCCCCAAAAGAUACCAUAAUUUGCUGAGGCUUCUGAAUCUUAAGUGCUCUAAGUUAUAACUUAUAUUUGUCACUUUAAAAGAACUGUUUGUUUAGCAAAAUCUACAGCAAGGGUAUAUUUAUAAAGUGAUAAUGUCAUUGCUGUUAUUUAGCAUCCUCUUCAGAAACUUUUUUUUGCAAUAUUAUUAGAU
rnacentral:lncRNA from 1 species